rnacentral:rRNA from 1 species
CCCUUAGAUGUUCUGGGCCGCACGCGCGCUACACUGAUGCAUUCAACGAGUCUAAAACCUGGUCUGAUAGGGCCGGGUAAUCUUUUGAAUGUGCAUCGUGAUUGGGAUAGAUGAUUGCAAUUCUUCAUCUUCAACGAGGAAUGCCUAGUAAACGCAAGUCAUCAGCUUGCAUUGAUUACGUCCCUGCCCUUUGUACACACCGCCCGUCGCUCCUACCGAUUGAAUGUUCCGAUGAAUACCAUGGACUGAGAGUAUGAAUGGGUUCGCCUAUUUCUGCUUCUCGGGAAGUGGAGUAAAUCUUAACAUUUAGAGGAAGGAGAAGUCGUAACA